GGAAGUAAAAGUCGUAACAAGGUCUCCGUUGGUGAACCAGCGGAGGGAUCAUUACCGAGUUUACAACUCCCAAACCCCUGUGAACAUACCACUUGUUGCCUCGGCGGAUCAGCCCGCUCCCGGUAAAACGGGACGGCCCGCCAGAGGACCCCUAAACUCUGUUUCUAUAUGUAACUUCUGAGUAAAACCAUAAAUAAAUCAAAACUUUCAACAACGGAUCUCUUGGUUCUGGCAUCGAUGAAGAACGCAGCAAAAUGCGAUAAGUAAUGUGAAUUGCAGAAUUCAGUGAAUCAUCGAAUCUUUGAACGCACAUUGCGCCCGCCAGUAUUCUGGCGGGCAUGCCUGUUCGAGCGUCAUUUCAACCCUCAAGCACAGCUUGGUGUUGGGACUCGCGUUAAUUCGCGUUCCCCAAAUUGAUUGGCGGUCACGUCGAGCUUCCAUAGCGUAGUAGUAAAACCCUCGUUACUGGUAAUCGUCGCGGCCACGCCGUUAAACCCCAACUUCUGAAUGUUGACCUCGGAUCAGGUAGGAAUACCCGCUGAACUUAAGCAUAUCAAUAAG
rnacentral:rRNA from 1 species